UCAGUCGACUCCUACGGGGAGGCAGCAGUGGGGAAUAUUGCACAAUGGGGGGAAACCCUGAUGCAGCCAUGCCGCGUGUGUGAAGAAGGCCUUCGGGUUGUAAAGCACUUUCAGUAGGGAGGAAGGUAGUGUAGUUAACACCUGCACUAUUUGACGUUACCUACAGAAGAAGCACCGGCUAACUCCGUGCCAGCAGCCGCGGUAAUACGGAGGGUGCGAGCGUUAAUCGGAAUUACUGGGCGUAAAGCGCAUGCAGGCGGCCUGUUAAGUCAGAUGUGAAAGCCCGGGGCUUAACCUCGGAAUUGCAUUUGAAACUGGCAGGCUAGAGUCUUGUAGAGGGGGGUAGGAAUUUCAGGUGUAGCGGUGAAAUGCGUAGAGAUCUGAAGGAAUACCAGUGGCGAAGGCGGCCCCCUGGACAAAGACUGACGCUCAGAUGCGAAAGCGUGGGGAGCAAACAGGAUUAGAUACCCUGGUAG
rnacentral:rRNA from 1 species